AAAAACAUUGCCUCUCGACUCAACAAUGAGAGGUUCAUCCUGCCCAAUGACAACAUAGUUCAAUGGCCGCGGUACCCUGACCGUGCAAAGGUAGCAUAAUCACUUGCCCCUUAAUUAGGGGCUGGCAUGAAAGGACACACGAAAGCUUCCCUGUCUCACAAUAACAAAUAAAAAUUAAUCUUCAAGUGAAAAAGCUUGAAUGAAACUGCAGGACAAGAAGACCCCGUUGAGCUUUAUUCUCUAUAGACUAAAUCAAAUAUUAAAUAUAUCAUAAACCUAAAAAGAAUUUAGUUGGGGUGACUAAGGAACACCAAAAACUUCCUUUUAUCAGUUAGGAUCAUUCUCCCUACAAAUUGACCCAUUACACAUGAUCAAAAAAAUAAGCUACCACAGGGAUAACAGGCUAAUCUUUCUCAAGAGCCCAAAUUGUCAGAAAGGAUUGGCACCUCGAUGUUGGCUUAGGGGCCCCUAAUGGUGCAGAAGCCAUAAAUGGUAGGUUUGUUCAACCUUUAAAACCCUACGUGAUCUG
rnacentral:rRNA from 1 species